ACAAAGUCCAACUGGAAAAAAAAGCCAAAGUGGAGUUUUUUUAAUACUUUUAACUUAGGAUAUGUUUACAUUUUGUGUUUUUUUUUUCAUGUUAAAAAUGGCAGCACAUGCAACUUAACCAGGUAAAUUUAUUUUAAGCAUUUAAAUGAUUCCAUCCAGCUAUUAAUUGCCUGCAGUUUCUGUGGCCAUAUUAAAGGAACAGUUGUAUUUGUUGGGCUGGUGGCACUGAAAGAAGAUCGUGCUCAUGUUUGGCAAAAUAUCUUCUUUGUUGUUCUACUGAAGAAAAAAUUCCACUUACAUAGCGGAUGGCCUAAAGACUGAUCUCGCCUGCAAUGCCCUGGAUGUCGGGUGGAUUUCGGACCUGACAGCUGAAGGUUCCGUUAAAUGUGAACUGCACAUUCUGCAAUCUAAUGGAGCCAUCACCCUUUACUACAUUACCAGACCAUACAGCAU